AACCAUUCUCACCUGCGGCUAGACCUGCGGAAGGAUCAUUAUCGAGUUGCAAAACUCCAACCCUUUGUGAACAUACCUCAGUCGUUGCUUCGGCGGUGGACGGCCUGUUUUUCGGAACGGCCGGAAGCCGCCGGAGGUUCCAAACUCGUAUUUUUUAGUGUAUCUCUGAGCCUGAAAACAAAUAAUCAAAACUUUCAACAACGGAUCU
rnacentral:misc_RNA from 1 species